AGGCGGAUUCUUAACGACUGUGCCACCAGGGAAGCCCUCUCCUGUCAUUUCUUAUUAUUUGUGUGAUUCUUUGAUUAACACCAGUCUCCCUGAUUGGGCUGCAUGAAGAUAAGGGUGGGGUCUGUUUUGUUGCUCACUGUAUCCCCAGUGCCAAGCAUGGGGUUGGCAUAUACUAGGUACUUAACAAAUAUUAGUUGAGUGGAUGAAGGAAUGAUUGAGUGAGUUGUCUACUAUGUUUUGCACAAGCUGUCUAGUGGCCCGGGUGACCGUGCCCCCUCCCCCACAUCUUUGCUUAGUCCGCUCGUACUGGUUUUUCCAAGGAAAACACAGUUUGGAGAAAGUUGAGCCUGGAGCCACUCCUUCUUGGUCCCCCAGGGCAGACCUCUUAUCACCCCUAUGAAUUGUUGGUUAACCCACUGUCACCCACUUGGGCUGGAAGGCGGCUGCUGCCUUUGAUCUCAGCCUUCCAGGCCCUCUCUCCACCCUUGUGUUUGCCUAGUGCAGAAGGAGAGCGCUAAGGGGAGUCCCCUGGCACCUGGCCAGACCUUUCCCCAAAUCACUCCUCCUGCUAUUAGACCUUGCCUAACCCCUUCGAUUUUAGAAGGGGAAGCUGAGACACUGGACUUUGCUUAGAAGGGAAGAUAUAUGCUGGGUGCCUCUGAGGGGCCAGGGUGCAGUCUGGGUGGCCAGACUGUGGCUGGAGGUCGAGGGGCAGGCCAUGUUGCUGGACUCCCUCUGGCUGGCUUCCCUCUUUCGCAGAGUGCCCUUUGCUCCAGGGGGGUAGGACCCUGAGCAGCAGACAGGCCCCCUAAAUUGGCCAAUGAACAGACCAGGUCUGGGGAGGGGCAUGGGGAAGAGUGGGCUGAGCCAUUUUCCCUGACUUUCCAGGCCCCAGCCUCUCCCUCCCAGGUCAUGAGGAUGCUAGAUCUUCGCUCUCGAGGCAGUUCAGUUCGACUGUCUCUCCCCUGGCACCUGCUAAGAAGGACGAAAACAAUCCCAGCCAGCGUAGAGCGUCAGGGAGUCCCCGCCCCUCCUCCUGUGCUUCCUCCUCCCCUGCCCCUCCUUCAGGCCCCGCCCCCACCUGCCCAGGAUAAUUUGUUUCCUUGGGCCAGGAGCCUGGACAACAGAGCUCAGCCUGCCCCCACUUCUGCGUCCAGUCAGGACACCCUCAUGCCACCUGUAGAGAAGAGGGAGCAGAUUUGAAAUCAAGUCCAGGCAUCUGAUGUUCCUAGAUAGAGCCGGACUUCGAACGCUGUGUCCUGCUACUCCUGCUGGGGCUCCUCCAGAUGUCAUGGAGCUGGGUCUGUCUCCACCUCAUCUCAGCAGCUCCCCAGAAGACCUGUACCUGGCCCCUGGGACCCCUCCUGGGACUCCCCCACCUCCCGAUGUUCCUCUGUCUGGGGAGGUGAAGAGGUCCCAGCCUCUGCCCAUUCCGACCAGCAGGAAACUUCUUCGACAGGAGGAGCUGCGGUCAACCUCUCUACCCUCCAUCCCCAACCCCUUCCCCGAGCUCUGCAGUCCUCCUUCACAGACCCCCAUUCUUGGGGGGCCCUCCAGUGCAAGGGGGCUGCUCCCUCGAGACACCAGCUGCCCCCAUGUCAUAAAGGUGUACAGUGAAGAUGGAGCCUGCCGGUCAGUGGAGGUGGCAGCGGGCGCCACGGCUCGCUACGUGUGUGAGAUGCUGGUGCAGCGAUCUCAUGCCCUGAGUGACGAGAACUGGGGGCUGGUGGAGGGCCACCCCCACCUAGCACUGGAGCGGGUCUUGGAGGACCAUGAGUCAGUGGCGGAAGUGCAGGCUGCCUGGCCCAUCGGCGGAGACAGCCGCUUUCUCUUCCGGAAGAACUUUGCCAAGUACGAGCUGUUCAAGAACACCCCACACUCCCUGUUCCCAGAAAAGAUGGUCUCCAGCUGUCUGGACGCACACACGGGCAUAUCCCACGAAGACCUCAUCCAGAACUUCCUGAAUGCAGGCAGCUUCCCAGAGAUCCAGGGCUUCCUGCAGCUACGGGGGUCAGGACGCAAGCUUUGGAAACGCUUCUUCUGCUUCCUACGCCGGUCUGGCCUCUAUUACUCCACCAAGGGCACCUCCAAGGAUCCGAGGCACCUGCAGUACGUAGCGGAUGUGAACGAGUCCAACGUGUACGUGGUGACCCAGGGCCGCAAGCUCUAUGGGAUGCCCACGGACUUCGGCUUCUGUAUCAAGCCAAACAAGCUUCGAAAUGGCCACAAGGGGCUUCGCAUCUUCUGCAGUGAGGAUGAACAGAGCCGCACCUGCUGGUUAGCCGCCUUCCGCCUCUUCAAGUAUGGGGUGCAGCUGUAUAAGAAUUAUCAGCAGGCACUGUGCCGCCACCUGCGCCCACCCUGUGUGGGUUCCCCGCCCUUGAGGAGUGUCUCAGACAACACCCUGGUGGCCAUGGACUUCUCUGGCCACGCCGGGCGUGUCAUCGAGAACCCCCGGGAAGCUCUGAGUGCCGCCCUGGAGGAGGCCCAGGCCUGGAGGAAGAAGACGAACCACCGACUAAGCCUGCCCACCCCGAGCUCCGGCACGAGCCUCAGUGCAGCCAUCCACCGCACCCAACCCUGGUUCCACGGACGCAUUUCCCGCGAGGAGAGCCAGCGGCUCAUCGGGCAGCAGGGCCUGGUAGAUGGCGUGUUCCUCGUGCGAGAGAGCCAGCGGAACCCGCAGGGCUUUGUCCUCUCGCUGUGCCAUGUGCAGAAAGUCAAACAUUACCUCAUCAUGCCGAGCGAAGAGGAGGGGCGCCUGUACUUCAGCAUGGACGAGGGCCAGACUCGCUUCACCGACCUGCUGCAGCUUGUGGAAUUCCACCAGCUGAACCGCGGCAUCCUGCCCUGCUUGCUGCGCCACUGCUGCACCCGCGUGGCCCUCUGACCACCACACAGGGCCACCAUGAGGGACCUGGACUGCUGGGGGCCUUUCGAGGCAGCAGCUGGCUCAGCCCUGAGCUGGAUACUGGAAAUCGGCAGCUGGACAUCCUUGGUGAGUGGCUGAGACUGCUGGCUUCCUGGAGGAGAGGCAGCAGUUGAGAAUGCGGGAGACAAGGGCCCCUCAGCUCACAGAGAGACCAGGGCAAGAUUCCCCAGCUCUGAGGAUGCAGCAUGACCCCCAGAGGCCAGACAGCAGAAGGGACUGCCAAGGAGAGCUGCAGUGCUAGAUAGCGGAGGCCUGUGGUUAUGAGGAAAUCUGGGCUGGUGGGAGGAGGCGGGGCAGGUAGAGGCUAGUGCCUCAGAUAUUGUCUUUUCAAUAUUAAGUUAUUGGGUUUGAUUAUCUUAAAAAAUGUCCUUGUUAAAGAACAUUUCAGAAACCGGUAAAAGACUUUGGGAAAGAAAAGGAAAUUCCCCAUAUCUCCCCCUGCUGAGGACGCAAGCAUUGAGAGAGGGUGGUGCAGGGCCAUACGCAGGGAGCUGGCCCUAAAAGGCCUGUAGUACGUCAUGGACACCGGCUCCUGGGGCUAGUGUGGCUGCUGUGAGCCUGGCGCCAAGGCGCAGAGCUGUCCUUGGCAGCAACUGGGCCUGUAGGAGGGUGUGGCCACAGGGUUGGCCUCCCUGCCUGCUCAGGUAUGGAGGGCAGGGAGGGCUGGUGCCAACUUUCUGGACUCUGGGAAAAGGUGGGCAUGAUUCUAGGGGAGCCCAUCUCUCCUAGGAUGUCCUGGGAGGGUCAUCCAGACAGACAAAACUCUGGCCAGUUCAUUCUCUCCCUGCUCCCCAGACAUCCUGGUCAAUGAAAUCUAUGCAGCCUCCAAGUUCAUGAGCGGAGGACCUCCUGGUGCAGGCCUGAGGGUUCCACCUCAGGUCAGUGACCCUGUCUGGCUCCUUCCUCUUGCUCCGGUGCCAGACACACCGAGGAGGGAGGGAGGGAGGAAAGGAGAGAGGCAGGGGAGCCCAAGGACACUCAGAAAGAUCCUUUCUUCUGAACUGUCUACAUGAGCACUUUUCAAGUGUUCCAGCAGGGGUUUGGGGGCAGGUUGGGGAGCUCUGGAGGGAGCACUGCCUUUAUAUCUGGGAGUUCGGCUUCAUGGUGUAUUUGGGAAAAAAAAAAAAAAAGGCUUCCACUACUGAACCACCUCUCUGGUCCAGCAGGCAGAAGAGAGGAGCCAGAGAGGUCAGGGGUUGGUCCAACUUGCACAGAGGUUGGGGAGUGGUGGGGGUCUGUAGCAGAACCUCAGCUUUGGGGCGUGGGCGUGAGGUGUGCAGUAGUCUCUUCAGACAGAGCUUUCAGCUGGGGUAGGGAGUUGGGAGAGGAGGCAAAAGAGAGAAUCGUAUGUUGGGGGAGUUUGAUGUUGCAGACUGGCAUCAAGAACCACAGGGGAAAAAAAUAAAAUUAAAAAAAAAAAAAAAAAAAAAGAACCACAGGGGAGUGGGUGAUCCUGGGGGCUGAGGCUGGUGCUCGGGGGUCCCUCAUGAUGUCCAUACAGGAAGGGGUGUUGGGAAGCGGUACCAUUUGGGCUGAGAAGGGUCGUGCUGUACCAGGCCCUAAUGAGGCCUGAAAUUCAAUCUCAUGUGGGUUGAGCUAUGAUGGCUUCUAGCGUCCUCUUGCAGGGCCGCGUCUACCCCAAGGAAAGGGCAGGUUUUUCUUUCCCAGGCACCUGGAGGGCUGUUUAGCCGGAGCUGUGUUUUCAUGGUAAGCAGUUUGUUUUUACUCGGAUUGGGUUUAUCUUGUGGUUCUGGGGAGACUGAGGGAGAGUGGUAAGCCAAUGCCACUCUGUUAGGGCCGCCACGUGGAUCCCUCUAAGGUCUCUGUAGUGGCGCUGGGCCCUGUGACCUUGGAGUGUGAGGGGAAGCUGUACACGGGGACAGAACGGGCCACCUGUACCCCCACAGACCCGCAGCCGAUGGACGUGUUCCUCUGCAUUUACUUGCCCAACGCACGCCCUGAGUUAGAUCCAAGACAGUGUAGAAGUGCACAUUCCUACCAGGCAUUCCAGGGUAUCUCCUUUCUUCCCUCUCCUCUUACAUCCAUCAGCCCGAUACAGGUUCCCACCUUUUGGUUCCCUUCUCCCAAGCUGAGCCAUCCGUCCCAGACAUCUAAGGGAUGAGCUGGGGGUGGGAAGGGGCGGCUGGGUGAGUAGGAGUGAGGAUGCAGCCGGGGACCCAUCCUACAGUCGCUCUGGCUCCGCAACACGUGCGCAAGAUGAUCUGCACCUUCCGCAAGCCCUUCCUUUCUCCUCUCCCCCCAGGAACAACCCGGCCUGCACGCGGUCGCCGGCGCCGACGGGCUCGAGCUGUCGCGGAGCUGCGGGCACCUGUCUGGACAGAGCCCCCUCCGCCUCGGAGGCUGAAAGGCCCGCCGGCUUCGCCAGCGGAGAGAACGGAGGAUAUCAAGACAGGAAGAGAGCCGCGUGAUCCCGAUGCCCUUCUCCUAGGAGUUUCCCCCAGCGCCUGAGGCUUGGGCCUCCAAGUAUCUACAGACUACAUUUCAAUGUGGCCGAGUUCUCCUGCCAGUUGAGUUUCCCAGCGUGGAUGUUUCUGAGACCCCAGAAAUGGAAAAAUCAGGACUUGCCUAUCUUUCAGGAAGGAUCCCUGCUGGGAGGGAGGGCGGACUGGUGUCUUGGAACUGGGAGACACCGUGCCAAAUCUGUCGAGCUUGUCAGUCCAGGCCCCGACCUCCUCAGAUCCCCUUAGUGAACUAAGGGCCAGUGGAGCCAGAACCCCACCAUGGGGACGUGGGGGCCAGCGGCAGGAUACCGACGGCAGGUUCAGCAAGGCCUCAGGCAAGAUGUUUUAUUUCAAUGAUAAUUCUCUUUCUCUAGGUAUCUGAACUUUAAGAAAGAGCCGGAGGGGCUAAAUUAAGAAACUAUUCCUAGGGGCAGAAUUAAUUCCAUUUUCUGACAGCAGCAACGACAAAUGAUAGGCAUGCACAAUGACUAAUUUUAAACACACCAGUAUUUUUUUUUUUAUUUUUCAGUGUAAAAACCAAACAUAAUAAAGAAACUUUGAAAACUA